rnacentral:lncRNA from 1 species
CGAAAAAUUACAUGGAAAAAUGAGUAAAAAAAAUUAUGGAUGAGCCCAAGUUUCUUUUAAAAUUAAAAACCACCUGGGGUUUAUAACAACCUUAUUAUGCAGAUGAUAUUUACACUUCAGAAAUAUUUAAGACAAUUGUAACCCUGUAAAGCUGAUGAGAUAUUAAAACAAGACAAAAACUGAAAACGAAAUGGAGUGGGGAGCUGGGUGUGUGUUGGUGAUCUUGAAACAAUAGCUUUUGAUGUUUCUGACACACCAUUUUGGAGGGUGCUUCUAACACUACCCACCUUCAUUCCUUCCUUCAUUCAUACGCUCAUGCAUUCA